UUUCCGUAGGUGAACCUGAGGGAGGAUCAUUACAGAGUUCAUGCCCUCACGGGUAGAUCUCCACCCUUGAAUAUUUAUACCUUAGUUGCUUUGGCAGGCCGUGGAAACACCAUGGGCUCCGGCUUAUGCGUGCCUGCCAGAGGAAACAAACUCUGUUUCUAGUGAUGUCUGAGUACUAUAUAAUAGUUAAAACUUUCAACAACGGAUCUCUUGGUUCUG
rnacentral:misc_RNA from 1 species